rnacentral:rRNA from 1 species
AGAGCGAACGCUGGCGGCAGGCUUAACACAUGCAAGUCGAGCGCCCCGCAAGGGGAGCGGCAGACGGGAGAGUAACACGUGGGAACGUACCUUUCGGUUCGGAACAACCCAGGGAAACUUGGGCUAAUACCGGAUACGUCCGUAAGGAGAAAGAUUUAUCGACGAAAGAUCGGCCCGCGUCUGAUUAGCUAGUUGGUGAGGUAACGGCUCACCAAGGCGACGAUCAGUAGCUGGUCUGAGAGGAUGAUCAGCCUCACUGGGACUGAGACACGGCCCAGACUCCUACGGGAGGCAGCAGUGGGGAAUAUUGGACAAUGGGCGCAAGCCUGAUCCAGCCAUGCCGCGUGGGUGAUGAAGGCCCUAGGGUUGUAAAGCCCUUUCGGCGGGGAAGAUAAUGACGGUACCCGCAGAAGAAGCCCGGCUAACUUCGUGCCAGCAGCCGC